rnacentral:rRNA from 1 species
UACGUAGGGGGCUAGCGUUGCUCGGAAUUACUGGGCGUAAAGGGCGCGUAGGCGGCUUUAUAAGUCGGGGGUGAAAGCCUGUGGCUCAACCACAGAAUUGCCUUCGAUACUGUAGAGCUUGAGACCGGAAGAGGUAAGUGGAACUGCGAGUGUAGAGGUGAAAUUCGUAGAUAUUCGCAAGAACACCAGUGGCGAAGGCGGCUCACUGGCCCGAUACUGACGCUGAGGCACGAAAGCGUGGGGAGCAAACAGG